CCCAUGCACCGUGAGAUCAUGACCUGAGCCGAAGUCGGACGCUUAACUGGCUGAACCACCCAGGUGCCCCAACUCACUUUGAUUUCUUAAGUGUUGAAUGAAAGCUUAGCGAACUUCAGCAGCAUGUUAGGUGUAAGAAAAACAAUUUGAUGGCAGUUACGUUUUUGCGAAAUGUUGGCACUAUUGUCCUGACUCUAUUAUUCCAUCAUAAUAGAUAGAUUUCUUUUCUCUGCACAUUUAUAGGCCUGGGGGGUUCAGUCUCUCUCUUCUGAGUGGGUAGGGAAAAUUUCCUUGAAGCAAAGCCACCGGGAAAAGAUUCUAGGCUUAGCAUCAAGGACAAUGGGUAAGUGGCUUAGAGGGUAUUAGGGAUGGAACAUUUGGUGCUGGGUUUGUGUUUUCUGAUCUCCAACCCAUUUCAAAACGUGGAUUCCCCAGUAGGCCAUUGGGCCGCUGCCUGCAUGUUUCCUCCAGCACCCUGACCUUUGAGCAGGAUGAGAGUUCCUAUGAUGGCUGUCCCCUGGGGUAGCAGCCAAGGUACCCAACCAUCCUGACACAUGAUAAAGAAGCUUCAGGCUAGAAAGCACUCCUGGCAACCCUGUUCUGCCUCUAAUGAGUCAAGUUGGCAGUGAGAUUCCAUGACCUGCGUCCACUUCUGGAAAUACACCCAGAGGCCCUGGGAUCCCACCUGGGGGCUUCCCACAGCUCAAGAUACUGCUUGGUAUUCAUUCUUGGUCCCCACUAAUCUGGAACAUUUCCUGUAGCAAAUACCAGGAUGACAAAUCUAUAGACAUCUGAAUGCCCUAAGAAUCAUGCCUGUCUAACUUGGUCUGUAUCACAUGAGCUUAAUUCAGCAUGAUCUCAUGAGUGCCACGGGCACAUCCUUAUAACUUAGUGUCCUUAUAUCUGAGUUGAUUGAGUGAAUCAUUCUUCUGCAUGGGAAAUUGUUAUUACACGUACAGCACCCAUCUUUAUAGAUGUUUCCAUUUCAUCUAGGUCAAUGUAUUCCUCAGUUCUAACUAGGGUCCUGUUCUCCACUCUCACAUAAAUAUAUUCUCUUUCUUCUUUGAAAGAUUAAUUUUUACUUCUUAUCUAUUAGGGAAGCUCUCUCAGUCAUGGGUGGCCCUGUCUUGUAAUUACCUCCAGGAGUUUUCGUCCAACUUUCCAAUCAGUUUUAAUUAAACUCAUUAUCUGUUUUCCUUUUUAGGCGGAUAGGAGGCAGAGUUCCCAGGAACAGGGUUGUAUGGUAAUAAUCGUUUCAGUUGAUGUGAGAAAUAGGCAGUCUUAGAGUCCCUUGCUAAGCAGAAAAUGCCAAUUCUUUAAGAAGAAAAAUACUUAUAAAGGUAACUCUUGUUUUAUUAGUUAUUUUAGAGUAGGUUCCUAGGCAAGUCAAGUUGAAUCACAUUAUUUUCGAUCAUCAGUCCUGGAGUGUAAGUUGUCCACAGGCAAACAAAGGAUAAGCUGGUUUGGUAGAGACAAGCAUACCAUUUCUUCAUCUGUGCCUGUCUGCUCUCAAGAACAGAUGGGCCCUUCUCUUUUCUCUUUGCCUAAGGUGUAGUGAGUUUAAUGGUAGCCUCUAAAAUACGUGUUCAACCAGAACCUGUGAAUAGGACCUUAUUUGGAAUGGGCCUUGGCUGAUGUAAUUAUGUUAAGAAUCUUAAGAUGAGAAGAGUGCCUGGGUGGCUCAGUCAGUUAAGCUUUUGACUCCUGGUCUCAGCUCAGAUCUUGAUCUCAGGGUCGUGAGUUCAGGCCCCACAUUGGGCUCCACACUGGGCAUGGAGCCGACUUAAAAAAAAAAAAAGGAUAUUAAUAUGUGAUCAUCCUGGGUUUGGAAUAAGCUCUAAUAUCAAUGUCAGGUGUCUUUAGAAGAGAAAGGCAGAGGGAGACAGAGACACAGACACAAAAACAUGAACACACAGAGAAGGUGAUGUGAGGACAGAGGCAGAGAUUGGAGAUAUGCAGCCAAGGAACACCAAGGGUUGCUGGCAGCCACGAGAAUCUAGGAAGAGGUCAGGGAAUGGAUUCUCCCUCAGAGCCUCCAGAAAGAACCAAUCCUGCCCACACCUAGGUUUUGAACUUCUGGCCUCCAGAAUUACGGGAGAAUAAACUACUGGUUUGUGCUAAUUUAUUAUUGCAGCCCUAAGAAACUAACACAUAUGGCAUGUAGCAGGGAUGUGGUGGGUUACUAUUUGCAGUAUCUUUUGGUAUCAUGGGAUAAUCUGGGUUCCCUUCAAGAGAGAGAUUUGGGGACCAGAAGGUUAUUUGGAGCUGGUGGGUUCAGACUGGCUAUUUCAAGGCCUUUGAAGUCAAAGGAGGCCAAGACAGGGGCUGGAGGUCUCCUGGCCCCAUAACACCAGGCACUUGGCUGAAGGAGGAUCAGAAAGGAGUCUACUUCUGUCAUGUGAGACCAGUCCAUGCUGUCUGGGUGGAAAACUAACACUUGCUGAGACAAGAUUUAUUUGGGCUUAGGUAAGCAUAAGGAGAUUUCCACAGAUUGUCCUCUCCUAGGCAGUACUGCAGGCCAGAAAAGAGGUAGCCAAGCCCAUUCUGGGUAUAUUUGAAUCUUAAGAAACACUAGCCUACACUGUGGAAAACAGUAUAGUGGUUUCCCAAAAUAUUAAAAAUAUUACCAUAUGAUCCAGCAAUUCCACUUCUGGGUACAUACUCAAAAGAAUUGAAAGCAGGCUCUCAAAGAGAUAUUUGUACACCCAUGUUCAUAGCAACAUUAUUCACAAUAGCCAGAAUGUGAAAGCAACACAAGUGUCCAUCCACAGAUGAAUGGAUAAGGAAAAUGUGGUAUGUACAUACAAUAGAAUAUUGAGCCUUAAAAAGGAAGGAAAUUCUGACAUGUGACAAUAUAGAUGAAUUUUGAGGACAUUAUGAUAAGUGAAAUAAGCCAUUCAUAAAAGAUAAUACCUAUAUAAUUCCACUUAGAUGAAGUACUUAGACUAGUCAAAAUUAUAUUUGAGAUUUUCCUUGCUUUUUGAGGUAGGCUGUAUUGCUAUAAACUUCCCUCUCAGAACUACUUUUGCUGCAUCCCAAAGAUUUUGGACCAUUGUGUUUUCAUUUCAUUUGUUUUCAUGUAAUUUUUAACUUCUUGGUUGACCCAUUCAUUGUUUAAUAGCCUGUUAUUUAACCUCUAUGUAUUUGUGCUCUUUUCAGACUUUUUUCUUGUGGUUUGUUUCUAGUUUUAUAGUGUUGUGAUUAGCAAAGGUGCAUGGUAUGACUUCGGUUUUUUUGAGAUUUGUCGUGUGGCCUAACAUGUGGUCUAUUCUGGAGAAUGUUCCAUGUGUAUUUGAAAGAAAUGUGUAUUCUGCUGUUUUAAGAUGGAAUGUUCUGAAUCUUUAAAUCCAUCUGGUCUAGUGUGUCAUUCAAAACCACUGUUUCAUUGUUGGUUUUCUGUUUGGACGAUCUGUCCAUCAAUGCAAGUGGGCUAUUAAAGUCUCCGACUAUUUUUGUCUUACUACCGAUUAUUUCUUUUAUGUUUGUUAUUAACUCCUUUACCUAUUUUGGUGCUUUCAUGCUGGGUGCGUAAAUAUUUACAAUUGUUAUAUCUUCUUGUUGGAUUGUCCCCUUUAUUAUUAUAUAGUGUCCUUCUUUGUCUGUUGUUACUAGACUAGUCAAAAUUAUAGAGACAGAAAAUAAAAUGGUGGUUGUCAGGGGCUGGGGAGAGGGAGGAACAGAGGAGUUAGUGUUUAAUGGGUACAAAGUUUCAGUUUUACAGGAAUGAAAAGAUUUAUGGAUACAGAUGAUGGUGAUGGUUGCCCAACAUUAUGAACAUACUUAAUAUCAUUGAACUGUAUGCUUAAAAAUGGUUAAGAUGGUAAAUUUUAUAUAAUACAUAUUUUAUCAUAAUAAAAUGAUUGGAAAAAAAAAGAAACACUGGACUAAUGGACUAAUGCCUUGGCAGAGUCCCCUGAGAGAGAAGUUGAGAGAUAGUCUAUUUGACAUUUUAUCAGUCAGGGCUCUCUACAAACACUGGCACAUUUAGAUCCCUACAGAGUAAAAAUUAAUUGGAAAUAGCUAAUCUUAAUAGAGAAAGAGGAAAGAAUGGCCACUCUCCCUUCCUGGUCACCUGUUAUGGAGAAUCUAUAGACUUCCACUAGUGAUGUCAUCAUCAAAGCUGCCAGAAGAGCCAGAGGAUCUGAGUUCUAACUGGGAGCAAGUUUGUGCAGGUACUGUCUUCAUUGAGACAGAAACACGUGCUAAACAGAGGGGAGAACAAUUCACUCAUGCCCAUGGGACCUGGGUUCUAAUUCUGGCUGUGCUGCUAAUUUCUGCUUGGUAUAUAUCCAUUGGAUUUUUGACUGCCAACAUCUGAAUCCCCUUCCUACCCAUGGGAGAACCCACAGAGCUCAUCUCCUGCCACUUUCCUGGGCUUUAGGAUCUAGAAGAUGCGUCCUUUUUUCAUCCAGUGAUGAGGGUUCACUGUGUGCAUCCGGUGUCCAGCGGAGAAGGUCCAAGCAGAGCUGAAAAAAUGAUGAAGCCUGCCACAGAAUAUUCUUUAUGGAGCGCUGAAAAACCCGCUAUGACACCAUAGUAUCCUAAAGCUAUCCUGGAAUGUUAGUGAUCUUGAGUUACAAGUUCCUAAGAGGAAAGAUUACAGAACUCUGUGAUGCUUUGAAAAAUUCCUACUCACAACCUUUUCUCUUUUUCCUCCACCUGACAAGCUAUUCUUAAAACCAUUGCCAUUACUACUAUUUUCUGUUUCUUCAGAUUCACCUACAACCCCUCAAAAAUCCUUGGCUGUGACAUCUUGAGAUUUUGGAACAAUCUAGCUCAUUAUUGUGACUAGAAACCAGAUAAUGAAAUUUGUGUUUGGCUUAACUACCAGGGAAAGGAGCAUGGAGACAUAAGCCACACAGAGUCUUUCUAGUAUCUUACUUUGAUCAAAUGUCAGGGUUAUGAAUAAUAGAAAUCCUGGUUUAGUUGGGGAGUUGACUAAAUAUCACAGAGUUACUAUGCUAUUCUAAAGUAAACAAACAUGUCUUUUGUUGUCUUUGUCUUUUUUUUCUACAGAUGUAUUUUUAAAAGCUUUAUAUUUUAAUAAUGUGGAUUCAUUGCUAUUGAUGACAUCUGAUCAGUAGCUUACGAAUAUGAAUUGGAAGAUUAAUUAUCUAGGGGAAACUUUGGAAAGGGCUGGAGAAUGUUUCAUUAACAGAGCUGGGUUUCCACGUUGAUGCCGAAAGCACUUCCGUUCCCAGACCUCCUUAUAGCUAUGAUUAUGUGUCCUGAUUCUGGCCAAUGUGAUUAAAGAGGAAAUCAGCAGGAAACUUCUGUAAGGCCUUUCCUCUCUUAAAAGAGAAAUGCUUAUGACAGUGUCGAGUGGUAUCCUGUGGAAUGGACGUGCCACUGUUCAUUUAACUACUCACUGCUGAAGGACACCUGAGUUGUUUCCAGUUUGCAGAUAUCAUGAAGAAAAUUGCUGCGAACAUUUGUACAGAUUUUUGUGUGAAGAUAAAUCUCCAUUUCUCUGGGAUAAAUGCCCAAGAGAGCAAUUUCUGGGUCAUCUGUAUGUUGGUUUAUUUAUCAUUUUCACUGGAGUAUUGACUCUUGAGGACAGGUUCUUAGCUCCAUUUGGAUUUGCAUCACAUAUACUCAGCAUUUGUGUGACAUAUGGUGAUACUCAAUAAAAUAUGGAAGGGCAGAAGAAAGGAAGAAAGAAAAGAGAAAGAAAGGGAAGGAGAGAAAUCUAUCAUUCCCUUAAGUUGUUAGCUAUUCCACUUCCAGACCUCCCAACAUCAUUUUUUUUUAAUGAGUCCGGUAGCUCCAGGGCUGGAUAGUGCCCAGCACAGAGUAGUUGCUUACUAUGUGCUAAAUUACGCAAUGAAUAUUCUAGAGAGUAGAGCAGCUCUUCUCUUCUCUGGCCCCAUCCUCCCUUUGCCCUGCUCCGUCACUCAAGCCCAAGCAUGGGCACACAAAGGCACACGCACACACUCUGGAGCCAUAUCCUAGGGAUCUUUUUCUGGAACCAAGCCAACAACUAACAAAUGAGGUGCUGUUGCUUCGAAGCUGAGCUAACAACAGCCUUGGCCUUGUCUGUGCAACUGCCUAGGAAAUUACAAAUGCAGGAUUUGGGGACCCAGCAGCUUUGUGGACUCGUUCCAAUGAGAAUACAGGAUGCACUUGAAAUAAAGAAUGCUUCUUUGUGACUCAUUAAGCUCUUCUCCGUUCCUCUCUAUUAGGCAUGUGUCUGCCACGCCAGGCAAAGCUAUGACCUUCAAAAGUGGAAGAGUCAGGCGGAAAUAAAAACAUUCCACUUCAGCGCCUAAACCAUGUGCCCCUUAAUCUGAAAUAAAUCUGUGACAACUGACAGCUACUUCUUUCAGACAGUUGUGGAGAAAGGCUUGACUUGUCCUAGUAAAUCAGACACAGGCUUCAUUAUUUUUAGUCUCGUUAAAAAAAAAAAAGUUACCAUAGCAACUGCACCAUCAUCUAGGGCAAAUAUUAUCUAAGUCAAUAAAAAGAGGAACUGUCCCAAAUACCCAGUACUUUGAAAGGAAGAAAUAUCUUUUCAAUAAAAUUAAUUUCUUCCAAGA